rnacentral:rRNA from 1 species
CGGAGGGUGCAAGCGUUGUCCGGAUUUAUGGGUUUAAAGGGUGCGUAGGCGGCUCUUUAAGUCAGUGGUGAAAUCCUGCAGCUUAACUGUAGAAUUGCCAUUGAUACUGAAGAGCUUGAGUACAGACGAGGUAGGCGGAAUUUAUGGUGUAGCGGUGAAAUGCAUAGAUACCAUAAAGAACCCCUAUUGCGAAGGCAGCUUACUAGGCUGUAACUGACGCUGAGGCACGAAAGCGUGGGGAUCAAACAGGAUUAGAUACCCUGGUAGUCCACGCCGUAAACGAUGAUUACUCGAUGUUCGCGAUAUACAGUGAGCGUCCAAGCGAAAGCGUUAAGUAAUCCACCUGGGAAGUACGAUCGCAAGAUUG